GCUGACUAGCUGAAACUUUUCUGAGAAGAGACCAUUUUGUACAAGAGGAAGCAGUGUCGCUCUGGAACGAACUCACAACAUAAUUUCAAUUGACCAGAACAGUUCCUUGACAGAAGCAGCUGGAGGUUGGGCAAGGAAUUCCUUGGAGAGAGGGAAUCCAUGGCAGGAAGGCUAUGAGCACUCCCUGACUGCCUCGGGGAGAAAACCAACCAUGGACCUGCGGAACAUCCCCUACCGCUCGGACGUGCUCACCUGGGACCCAGAUGACUUGGCAGAAUAUUUCAGGACGCUAAAGUAUAAAGACUGUGAGAAAGUCGUGAGGAAGCACAGCAUAAAUGGACAAAGGUUUUUGAACAUGUCUGAAAAUGAUAUUCAGAAAUUUCCAAAGCUCAGAGUGCCAAUUGUAAGUAAAUUAAGCCAAGAAAUAAACAAAAAUGAAGGGAGGCUCUCUUUCCUUCCAAAGUGGGCCCAAACACAAAAAUCUCCAGAAAACACAGGGUACGCUCAGGAUGACGGUGGCUGGUCCUCGUUUGAUGAUGAUGAUGAUGAUGAUGACUAUGAAAGCCCUGAUGAAGACCAGGAAAAGGAAGAUGAGGCUGACUAUGAAUCACCAACAGAGGAGCCUGAGGAAGCAGGACAUGACAGUGAUGGUUAUGAGCCACCUCCAACCAAUAAUGAUGAAGCACAUCACAAUGUCAUAUUUCCUGCCAAGUCACUUCCAAGCAGCACAGAUUAUAUAGACAGACCUUCAACAACCAGAUCACCGCAUCAGCCUCCAGUACCUCCCCAGCGACCUGGCCCAGCCUCAUUUGGGGGAAGAAGUGUUACUCUGCCAGCUUUCCCUCCUCCACCAAGCAACAACGACUUGAGUAGAGACAGAAACAUGAAGCCUUUGAAACCCCCAGCUCCUUCUAUAGACAGAAGCACAAAACCCUCUCUGGAUCGUUUUGCUCCCCCAUAUGAAAGAGAAAGCCCAGGAUCAGGGAAGAAGCCAGGCAUUCCUGAAAAGCCUCUGGUUUCACAGCUCAGAUCCCUGGGAGAACAAUUAGCAAUGAUGCCAAAACCUCCUGUUCCACCAAGUGACAGAUAUGAAAGAGGCAAUCCACCUCCUCUAAGGAAGCAAAGCCCUGGAAAACAGAUUUGGCCACCACACAAGAAAAAUGAAGAAGAAGAAGACACUGCCCUCCAAAGACCAGUGCCACAGCUGUCUUUGCCCCCAUACAGCUCCAAUGCAUUCCCACCCAAAUCUGUCAAGCCUCCACCUAAGCCAGGAUCCAACAACAUUCCUGCUGCAGAAAGUUCUAGAAACUUGUCUUCAACUGGCUCUCUACCACCACGCUUCCAUCCAGGCAGCAACAGCAGAUCUCCUUCAAGAGGCCCAGCUGACAUGAGACCUCCAUUGCCAGCUCCUAGCAGACAGACUGUUCACCAGACAAACACACAGGAAUAUGAGCCCCAGGGCUCUCUGAAGGAUGAGUGGUACGUGGCUUUUGUCAGCCGGCCCGAGGCAGAGACAGCGCUCCGCAGGAUAAACAAGGAUGGAACAUUCUUGGUGAGAGACAGCUCACGAAAAACUGUCACUCACCCAUAUGUACUGAUGGUGCUGUACAGAGAUAAAGUGUACAACAUCCAGAUCCGGUACCAGCAGCAGGACCACUUAUAUUUAUUAGGAACCAGCUUAAAAGGAAAAGAGGAAUUUUCUUCUGUAGCAGAUAUCAUUGACCACUUUCAAAGAACACCUCUUCUUCUGAUUGAUGGAAAAGACAGAGGCUCAAGAAAUCAGUGCAUGUUAAAAUACGCGGCAGGACAUGUUUAAAUGAAACUUUAGAGAAGAUCACAUAUGAUGUUUAGCUUAAAAUAAAAAUAGUUUAACUGCAGGAAACCAUGCUAUCAUUGAACGGUCCAAACUUAAUUAAAAGAAAGAAGAUGAAGAAGAAGAAAAAGCAGCAGUUUCAUCAGCAUGAAUAGAAGACAAUACAUAAAAAUGGAUGUUACUUAAUCUGUCAAACUCCAAGUCUUUUCUUCAGCUUCUCUUAAAUCUUUGGCCUUCACAGGAUGGUUGAAAUUCAAAAUCAGGUCACAAAGCAGUAGCUGGCUUUCCACUGGAAGACAAAGGCUGUGCUGUAGUACCGAAAGCCAGGGACACCAAGCAGAGGAAUGGCUGUCAGCACUUUUCUUUAAUUUACUGGAACCACUUUUCCUGCUGCUCAGCAUUCAUCUGUAUUUUGGACUCACUGUUUGGCACCAGUGGAGAAGGAAUAAGCAGCAUCUCAGAGGAGAGUGGAGUUACUUGGAUGUGCAGUAGAGAACAGAUGGACAGGGUGUGCUUGGGAUGUGCUUUCAUGGUAUUUCUUCUUUAAAACAAAGCAUUUUAAAUGUAUUGGUUUAUGACUGAAUUGCAACUCAGAGCAACACAUUCUGGUAUGGCAGAAUUGAACUGUGAUUCAAAGAGAAAACGUGAUAUGCUGCUUCCACUGUGGGGCUUUCUGGAGAUGAGAAAUGCAGAGCAGGAAACCCUUCACACAUGCACUAAUUCCUGUACUAAACCCUUUCAGUUUACAACCUCUCACCAGCACCCCAGUGCAAACAAGUUAACUGUGCCUUUUCUGUGGCCCGAAGGAAAAAGUCCAGCUGAAGUUGCUGAUUUUGCUGGUAGAACACAAAAUAAAGCUGUGUACCAAAGAAUAUACAAGGUGGUUUUAUGUAUUUUCAAAAUAAGAACCUACAAAAGUUUAUAUAGAUACAAAAAAGCAAAAUGGUAUCCUAGCAAGGUCCUGAAAAUAUUUGAGUCGGUAGAAAAAGCAGUUAUUUGCUUCACUAACCUGUAAAGCAGAAUGCUUCAACUGAUAAACCCCUGUUUCUGUCAGUUUACUUUCUACAUUCGGAUGUUUUUUGCACAUCCUAUAAAUAAUCAUUCCCAUUGUAUUUAAAUUCUUCUGUAAACUGACAGUAGAAGGAAAACCAGGAAAUGGUCCAUCACAAAGAAAACCAUUGUAAUGACCAGAAAAUUUAGAUUCAAAAUAUGUACAAUAAAUUGAGUUUCCAGAAUCAAUAAAGCAGAGCCUUUCUAUAAAUAAUCUUCAAAAAUGUGAGAUUUUAACCAGCAAGGCGACCAACAGUGCAGGAGAUUGACUAUACAUGACAUUUGAAAAAAAAAAACAACAGAGUAAGAGAUA